CCGGGGCCUGGAGCUGGGGACGCGGGCCGGGGCCGGGAGUUGCGGACUCGCUGGCGGGUGGGAGGAGCGGAGUCGGGGCGAGGCUGGCGGAGAUCCAGGGGAUCGCCCGGUUGGGCCCUGCGCACCCCGGAUCACCAGCUUCGGGCGCUGGUUCCCACCGAGGCUGUUCAGGCGCCGCUCCCCCGCGUCCCUGCGACAGGAGGCGCCUGCUGGGCGCGCUAUGGACCCCGCCUCGCGGAGACGCCUGGCUCGGGCCUUGUCCCCAGUGAGCGGCUGGAGCGGCCGCGGGGUCGCAGAGCCUCCGGGACCCCGAGGAAGGGCGCCCCUCGGAGUUGCCCGAGGCCGGGCCCGGCGUCCACUCGCCACUCGCCUCGCCCCUCCCCGGCCCCGCACCGCCCUCCACCCCGCCUCCUUCGGGUUCCUUCUGCGUCCGGCAGAGCCUGCGCGCCUCCCCCGGACGGCCACGGACUCGCAGCCUCGGCGAGGACGCUGCCUGCGUCCCGACUGCCUGGACCUCCCCGCGUGGCUCCCGGCGAAGCCCAGCAGCCGGAGGGUGCCAGGUCCGCCUGACGCGCCCCUCCCCACGGGAAGAACGGGGCGGGGGUCCAGGAGGGACGUAAGCCGGGCUCCCCCGGCGUGUUGAUCCGAACCCGCGCGGGAAAACUUGCGCAAACCAAAGGAGGGAAGAGUCAGGCAGCCCCCAGCCCCCCAGGGAGGCCCAGGUGAAAAACAGACGCCGGCCUCGCCUCUCCCGGUGCGGAUGAUCCCGGCACUCCCACCCCCGCCCCUGCUGCCCCGAGUUCGGCUCCCUCAGCCCCACAUCCUCUCUGGUCAUCUAAGUGGACUGCAGCUGCUCAGGGAGCAUGUCGCGAAGGAUAGGGAAGGACAGGGGGUCUGCUUCCCCAGCCGCCCUCCAGACCCCCAGGGCUGGUAGGGGCCGGCAACCCUAUGCCCCAACCUGGCCUGCUGCAGGUGAGGGGGGCACACCAGGGUAACACAGGAGCAGGAGGGGGAGAAAGCCUGGCUAGAGCAUCCACCUCAUAGGCACCUUCCUUGUGUCCAGGGUGCAGAUGCCAGGGCUCUGAGGCCCUGAGGUCCUGUCUGGGGCGAGGGGGCUUCCUCCAUCCACUGCAUCCACUGCCCGGCUGAGUCUAGAGGCCACUGAGCAAGCAGACCCUCCAAAGCCAGGCACACUCAGGCCCUCACAUGGUCACGGUGCUUAUGCUCUGGGCCAGCCUGGAUUGCUCAUCCCUAGCUGAGAUUGGGAUUCACAGGGUCUUCCAGUUCCCCCUUUUCUUUCUCUACUGAUUGAGAAACACAGAGUCCUUUGAUUGCUCUGGGACCUGGCCAUUGCGUGUUCCCUGCAGCCUUGAACCCAGUUCAAUGGGGCCGGGCACAUUCCCUGAUAAAGCUGUUUAGGUUGCUUGAAAACACAAUCAACCCUAUUGCUAAACACGUAGAAACUGGCCCUGCCCUGAGUCCAAUCCCUUAAACUCUCAUCUAAGCUCCAUAGCCAGAGUCCCUUGCUGCAAAUGUACCUGGGUGGAGCAUCCCUUGCCUCAUCAUCGAUCCCAAGAAAGCUGAAGCUCCAUGUGAAAAUUUCCGGAAGAAAUGCUCUGGACUGAUCACCCUGGCGUUUAGAGCUUCUUUCCUUGGAAUCCCAACCAAUUCCAUCGCGGGACUGUUUGGGGAAGUCUUUUGAGGCAACUCCCUUGCUGCCACUUUUGGGGCAACUCUAGCCUCCUCAUAUUUGGCCAGAUAGAACAGUUCCAAGCUGUAAAUGUUUCCAGGAAAAAAUCUCAACUACAAAGACACUUUCAAGGUGCUGCAUUUCCAACAGCACUCUCCGUAUCCGAGUGGACAGCCCAGAGCAAUGGUGCUUCCAAUCCACAGAGCCCCUCCACAGGUCCCUUGCCAUCUGCAGACACCCACAUCUCAAGGAACAGCUGCAUUGCUGGUGGGGGCUGUACCAUGGAGGAGAGGGGGAGCUGUCAAUCAACCACCAUUGCAGACUCUGCAGCACCCGAGUGGCGACAGAGAUGGUGUGGUGAGAGGUUGGUGGGACUGCUGAGGUGCCCAGGACCAGAGGGGCUCAGCACAGAGGGGUCCAGGCCGGGUCUGUCCCCCCAGGACAGAGACGCAGUUUGGGUCUAGGUGGGGGUCUGUCCAUCAGCCUUGGGCUUGUGGCUGGGGAUGGCUGAGAUUUGACUGUUGUUUCUUUGCAGUCUUGGGGUUUGGGAGUAGAUUUUGAAUUUGAGCAGGUGUAGAGACAAGAAGUUUUCAAGAGUUUCAGAAAAAGGAGUCAGCCGGGCACGGUGGCUCGUGCGUAUAAUCCCAGCACUUUGGGAGGCCAAAGAGGGCAAAUGGCUUGAGCUCACGAGUUCUAGAUCAGACGGGGCAACAUGGCAAGACCCUGUCUCUACAAAAAAUACAAAAAUUAGCCUGGCGUGGUGGCGGGUGCCUGUAGUCCCAGCUACUCAGGAGGCUGAGGCAGGAGAAUCACUUGAACCUGGGAGGCGGAGGUUGCAGUGAGCCAAGAUCACGACACUGCACUCCAGCCUGGGUGAUGGAACCAGACCUUGUCUCAAAAAAAAAAAAGAAAAGAAAGAAAACAAAGGAGCCAGGAGGCCACGGCUAGAGCCCAGGGCAGAAACCCUCAGCCGGUAGCUCAGACCUCAAGCCAGGUUGUGAGGACUGUAGCCCUGGCUAGGGGCGUGGAGCCCGUGGACGGCCGGCCAUUCUCAGUGGAAGUUAGAGGGAGGAGAAGGGGACGUCCUGGUGUGAUGGACAAGAGGAGGGUGUCCUAGAGGAGGGAGGGUGGCCGGCCACCAGGACUGGACCUGAGUCUUGACUCAUCAUUGAGGCCCAGAUUGUUUCACAGAAGGGGGGCCUGCUCACCAGCUCUCCCCAGCUCACAAAGACCCACGAACGCGGAGGGGCCUCUCUCCAGCUCUCCCCAGCUCACAAAGACCCACGAACGCGGAGGGGCCUCUCUCCAGCUCUCCCCAGCUCACAAAGACCCACGAACACCGAGGGGCCCUGGAGCUGCCGGAUGAGCCGGCUUGGAUUGCUGGGCCAUGUCGAUGCAGGCGACAGCCGGGGCACAGGGCUUGUGAGGCCCAACAGUGUCUUGCCUCCUUGGGGUGGACUCUGAGAACAGACAGCUCCAGAGCUUAGAGCCUGGCAGGUGAGAGGCACUGGGGGUGCCUGGUGGGGCCUCUCUGGCAGCUGCUGACAGGCUGGUCCUGAACUCCUGGCCGCAGCUCUGGCUGCCUCCACAUCAGCGGCAGGUGCAGCCGUCAGGUGUGUCUCACGGCAGGUGAAGGUUGUUCUCAGGCCUCAGGGCCCCGGAGUCCUCAUCUGGCCCCCACUGGUGCCCUCCCCAUCUUCCUCGCCAGUGCCCUUUCAGACCUGUGACCCCUUGGUCACUCUUAUGUGGCCUGCGGCGUGAAUGACAGUUUUCCCUCACAGGCCUGUCUCCAGCUGAGCACCUCUGAGCUCCCCUAGACUCCUUGGGGGCAGGGUCAGAGUCUCCCAUGACCUCGAGUCCUCCAGGGACCAGUGCCCCACAGGUCCAGCCUGCAUGGGGAUAGGCAGAGCCAGAGAGUGGCCACAGGCCUGCUGCGGCAAGAAGGCAGGUGGCACGUGAGCCACCGCACCCGUCCUUCCCGGGCUGGUGGUAUCUGCCUGUGUCCCUGUGCUUAUGGCUGCUGGCGUAAACGUAGUUACUGGCCCCUCGUAGCAGGCCUCAAGGACUCCGUGGGCCCUACCUGUGCUCCUGUGUUUCUUGUGGCUGGGGCAGCAGCAGGCUGUGAGAAGCUCCUCCUUCAUACGAGGGUUUCAGACCAUGCUGGGUGUGCCAGGAUGCCUUCGUGGGCAGUGGGUGGCAAGGCCGCUCCGUCCUGGCAAGCCUGCCCCUGCGCACUCGCGCGGUGGAUGCAUACAGGUGGCCGGUGCUCCCUUCCUUGAGAAUGGAGGCCGCUUGGCGGGAGACACCCAAGGGAACGGCAGCACCUUGACAGGUUUGCUUCACUGCCCUUGGCUCCUGCCUUGCCGGAGUCUGUGUGUCCCUCAAGAGGGGCCGGUCUGCAGGGUACAGAGGGACCAAGGGAUGUCCCCCCAGGGUACAGAUGGUCCAGGAGGAUGCUUUGCAGCUUCUCAGUGGGCAUUGCCCCAGGGAGGCUGGUCUGCCCGAUGCCAGGUGCUCAGGGAUGGAGGAUCCAAGCCUAAGCCACUUCCAGGCCUGUCAGGGCAACCUCCUCGGCUCCUGCAGCACAAUCUUUCUGGUUCACUGCAGUAACCCUGGGUCCAGAACAGCCCUGACAUGUCACAGCCCCUCCCCGUUCAAAAGCUGGUCUCUCAGCUCGUCCUCACAAGCACCUGUGAGGCAGGAGAUGCCCUCCUUUGCAGGUGAGACACGGAGGCACAGAGGUCAGGCUGCUAAGGGUGCCACCAGGGUCUCCCCCACGCCCACAGAACCACCUCCUGCCUUCCACAGCAGCUGUGUGUGGGAGGAGGACAGUUGUGGGUGAUUGCAGGCCAGGUGUGAUGCUGAGCAGGAGAGGAGGAGCACAGGUGAAAGGAGCUUGUGUCCCAUAGGCUGGGGGUUUCUUUUUCCAAUGCAAUGUGAUCUCCCCCUACCCCCUGUCAGACCCCCUUGGGCUGCUGGUGAAGAAGUGUGAGUAACUAGACUCCUCAGUUAGUGACAGGCUUUUUUCCCCAAGCCAGACAAUGGGGAGUUCACAAAGGAGUUUGGAUCUUAGAUCAUAAAGUGAGUCCCUUGCUUAGUGUUCUGCAGGAUGUGGUUUAGUUUCAGGAUCUGAGUUCUAACUGCCAAUCUCAGGCCACUGGCGGUAGUGGGAGGCUGCUGUGGGUCCAGCCUGGGGGCCUGGCCACCCAUACAGUGUCAGAUUAGAGCCAAAGGCCACAGAGCUGGGUGGAGGGCGCUGCUUCCUUGUGGGAGCCUAUGACAUUUUGCCCGUUACGUAGAAAUCCAAGCUAACUGGCCCCAGAGUUGCUGCCAGGUUGAAGUGUCCACUCCGAGACGUUUUGGGCAGAAGCUUGCAGAUUUGCCCCUCCAUUUAACUUAGGGGACAAGGGCUAUGCUGACCUCCCCAACAGUGGCCUGGGGCAGGGAGCGGGAGAAGUGGCAGGCCCUGUGGGAAGGGCUGCAGGAAAGGAGGGGCCAGAAGUGGGGCCAGGCAGCAGUUCACCCACCCCAGCGCCCCUUUAGUCAGGACCUGCAGUGUCCAGCAUGGUGGGCUCAAGCCCCACGUGGCCAUCAGACACCUGGAAAGUGCCCCGUCCAAAUCGACAUGUGCCACAAAUGAAAACACUUGAUUUCAAAGACUCAGUAUGAAAAAUCAAAUCAAAUCUCUCACCGAUGAUUUUUUUAUAUUGAUUGCAUUUGGAAUUAUAUUUUGGAUUUAAGGUAAAUAAAGUGUAUUACUGUAUUUAAUGUUACCUGUUUCUUUUUACAUUUUAUUUUAUUUUAUUUUUAUUUAUUUAUUUUUAGGCAGAGUCUCACUCUGUCAGCCAGGCUGGUGUGAUCUCAGCUCACUGCAACCUCCACCUCCCGGGUUCAAUCGGUUCUUGUGCCUCAGCCUCCCGAGUAGCUGGGACUACAGGCGCGCACCACCACACCCGGCUAAUUUUUGUAUUUUUAGUAAAGACAGGGUUUUGCCAUGUUGGCCAGGCUGGUCUUGAACUCCUGGCCUCAAGCUAUCCACCUACCUCAGCCUCCCAAAGUGCUGGGAUUACAGGCAUGAGUCACCACGCCCAGCCUCCUUUUAUUUUAUUUUAUUUUUUAUUUUUUAUUUUUUCCUUUUAUUUUAAAGUUAAAAAGUAGCUCAGAGAUAGUGAUUUUAGGUGAAGGAUUUGGGCUGUGGCCUCUGUGCCCAAAACUUCUGUCUUCAAUUAGAUCCUUUCAUUUCUACAAAGCGGGCACCACAGCCUCACAUCAUUUGAUCAUUUGAUCUUUCUUUUUUUUUUUUUUCCGGAGACAGAGUCUCGCUCUUUCGCCC
rnacentral:lncRNA from 1 species